AUUGAACGCUGGCGGCAGGCCCAACACAUGCGAGUCGAGCGGAUGAAGGGAGCUUGCUCCUGGAUUCAGCGGCGGACGGGUGAGUAAUGCCUAGGAAUCUGCCUGGUAGUGGGGGAUAACGUCCGGAAACGGGCGCUAAUACCGCAUACGUCCUGAGGGAGAAAGUGGGGGAUCUUCGGACCUCACGCUAUCAGAUGAGCCUAGGUCGGAUUAGCUAGUUGGUGGGGUAAAGGCCUACCAAGGCGACGAUCCGUAACUGGUCUGAGAGGAUGAUCAGUCACACUGGAACUGAGACACGGUCCAGACUCCUACGGGAGGCAGCAGUGGGGAAUAUUGGACAAUGGGCGAAAGCCUGAUCCAGCCAUGCCGCGUGUGUGAAGAAGGUCUUCGGAUUGUAAAGCACUUUAAGUUGGGAGGAAGGGCAGUAAGUUAAUACCUUGCUGUUUUGACGUUACCAACAGAAUAAGCACCGGCUAACUUCGUG
rnacentral:rRNA from 1 species